rnacentral:rRNA from 1 species
GCAGAAUUCCGCGAAUCAUCGAGUCUUUGAACGCAAGUUGCGCCCGAGGCUUGUCCGAGGGCAUUUCCGCUAGAGCGUCACCGCG